rnacentral:misc_RNA from 1 species
GAUGAAGAACGCAGCGAAAUGCGAUAAGUAAUGUGAAUUGCAGAAUUCAGUGAAUCAUCGAAUCUUUGAACGCACAUUGCGCCCCCUGGUAUUCCGGGGGGCAUGCCUGUCCGAGCGUCAUUGCUGCCCUCAAGCCCGGCUUGUGUGUUGGGCCCUGCUCCCCCGGGGGCAGGCCCGAAAGGCAGUGGCGGCACCGCGUCCGAUCCUCGAGCGUAUGGGGCUUUGUCACCCGCUCUGUAGGCCCGGCCGGCGCUUGCCGACCCCCAUCAAUCUUUUUUCAGGUUGACCUCGGAUCAGGUAGGGAUACCCGCUGAACUUAAGCAUAUCAAUAAGCGGAGGA